GUGCCUUUGAGAUGUAAUCUUACUGCUUUCAGCUUCUUUACAGUGUUGCCUUGUGGCAUGGAGUUCAAGCAGCAUUGUACAGGGCUAUCAAAGCAUUAAGAACUGCUACAGGAUCCACUG
rnacentral:pre_miRNA from 14 species